rnacentral:rRNA from 1 species
GUCUAUGGCCAUACCACCCUGAACAUGCCCAAUCUCAUCUGAUCUCAGAAGCUAAGCAGGGUCAGGCAUGGUUAGUACUUGGAUGGGAGACUUCAUGCGAAUACCAGGUGCUGUAGGCU